GAUGAACGCUAGCGGCAGGCCUAACACAUGCAAGUCGAGGGGUAGAACACUUCGGUGUUUGAGACCGGCGCACGGGUGCGUAACGCGUAUGCAAUCUACCUUGUACAGGGGAAUAGCCCAGAGAAAUUUGGAUUAAUGCCCCAUAGUAUAUAACCUUCGCAUGUUGGUUAUAUUAAAGUUCCAACGGUACAAGAUGAGCAUGCGUCCCAUUAGUUAGUUGGUAAGGUAACGGCUUACCAAGACGAUGAUGGGUAGGGGUCCUGAGAGGGAGAUCCCCCACACUGGUACUGAGACACGGACCAGACUCCUACGGGAGGCAGCAGUGAGGAAUAUUGGUCAAUGGUCGCAAGACUGAACCAGCCAUGCCGCGUGCAGGAAGACGGUCCUAUGGAUUGUAAACUGCUUUUUAUACAGGGAAGAAACCCUCCCACGUGUGGGAGCUUGACGGUACUGUAGGAAUAAGGAUCGGCUAAACUCCGUGCCAGCAGCCG
rnacentral:rRNA from 1 species